GCAUGCACGACGCCACUCCUCUGCUAUCGACGCCAUCGCAGGGGCCGGGUCCACCGCCCCGUCCGCCGCUCCUUCUCUGCUGCACCACAGACGCUAGCGCGGAUCGCCGUCGCCGCCUGCCGCUCCUCCUCUAAUUCUAGACGGACGCAAGCUCGGAUCAUUGUCGCCUCCUCCGGCCGCUCAUCCUAUGCCGCCCCAUGGUCUCGACGCCGGAGGCUCUCCUCUUGGUCGGCUGCUGCCCCCACGGAUGCGAGCUCCCGCCGCUCCUCCUUUUCUGCCCCACGGGCUCACCGCCGGCCGCUCUCCCUUCGUCGGUUGCUGCUCUGUACGCCCAUAGCCAUAAUUGCGGAACGCGCCACCGAUUCUCUGGGCUGGAAGAUCAGGCGAAGGCUCUCCUCUGCAUCGGAUCUGGCAUCCUGAGCCUUCCAACAAUCGGAUCCGGUGAGAUUUGCCACCUCCUGCUGCCGUCCAUGUGUAGCUCGUCGACUUCACCCAGGAUGGCCACCAGGAUGAGUCGACGACCUCUGCCUCAUAGUUGUCUUCCCCGAGAGCUGACGCUGUCUCCAUGCCGCACGAGUGACUUGCAUUUUUCUACAUUGCUUCAUAUUAAGUUGAUUGGGACUGUUUGAUUGAAUAACAAAUAGUAAACAACCUCUGUCGUUGAUCAAUUCAUGGAACGAUUAUCACAUGUGGCAAACUGAAUUGCAUUCUCAAUACACAAGGGAAGUGCAAGCAGUAUCUGGAGGGUCAAAUUAUUCAUUACCUACAAGUUAUAAAUUUAUAAUGCUAACACACUGUGUUUUGCUUUUAUAACUUGCAAGUUGCAAGUGUUAACCCGAGAAAAACGAUUUGCAGGUGGACAUCUGCAGUAAAUAAUCAGGUGCUUCCUCAUUAUCAAAGUCAAUGCUCUGUGAGGUGUGCAGCGAGUGCGUGUGAAUGUGCCGAUGCGAGGUAGUGGAGGGUUCAACAAGAUUUUUAACAAAAUGGCUGCUACGAAGACUGGUUGCUUUAAAUUUUGUUUUGGUGCUUUUGGAGAUUUGAUUGUACAAGAAAAUGAUCUACCUUGCAAUAUCAUUUUUCUUGCAAAUGAAGAAAUUCAGAGCAUCUAAGUCUUAAAUGUAUCUGCUAAAGUGUUGAUAUUAAUCCUUUAUAUUGCCCGGAAGUCAACGAACAACCAGACCAGAAAGGCGUGGAGCUUGAGCUUGAGCUGCAGCGACAAUGACAACUUGGGCGUCAACUUCAAAAAACAACAGUUCAAGUGUACACUCUCUCUCUCUCCCUCUCUCUCUCUCUCUCUGUGUUUCUACUAAGUACAGUCUGUGUACUGUUCUAUCCUUGUUCUGUUUUCUUCAACCAUUUUUUGUUGUAUAUUCUCUGUCAGUAAAUGCCCCAAUCUAUUUUAUCUAGGCAGCAUGUAUUUGGUACUACAAUAAGUUGGUGCGAUAUCCUCCAAUAUUUUGUUAUCUAGGCAGUCAAAACAACUUCAGUCCGCUUAAUUUUUUUUUCUGCUUUUGCUGUUGUGAUGAGAGAAAGAAAGAGAUGUGGUGGCAAUGGAGAACUUGGACCAAUUGAUAAUAUACCAUAGUUGUGGUAGUUAAUGUUUGUGGUACUUCCUUUAGGAUAUUUGUUCUAUACAUAUGUUCCGCCAGAUAUUCAUUCAAAUUGUACCCUUCUCUAUCAAUUAGUAUGGUUCUUAGCUGACUGCGUGAUUAUGAUUGAACACUUAGUAUCUUAAGAAGAUAAAUAAUGAACGCAGACUGCUCUCCUCCAGUUCAGUGGAACCGUAGGAGGUAACCAUGGAGGUGAUAGACGCAAUGGCUUGAGCAUGACGGAUGGUUGUCCCUAAGUUUCUACCACUGAGUUGGUGCAUGCUCCAAUAUUACCAGGUCAAUGCUUCAAAUCACCAGACCUUGGCGCUAUUCCUUGUCAUAGAGGAGAAGUAUGAUCAUGACCCUGCUCAAGUUCGGCCUCACUACUGUCGCUGUAGCUGCUUCUGUGAGUCUCUAUAAUCUUCUUCGCCACUGGUUCAGUAACCCUCUCGGUUUUGUUCUCUCCUCUUCUCUUGUGCUCUCUGACCCAGACAUUGAUCGAUGUGACUCUUGUGAUGCCAGCCAUCAAGCUUCUCGUGCUUUGGUUACUGCUAAUGCUUGGCUCCUAAUGUAUAGGCGAGAGGAAGAUACAGAUGUACCUAUGAUUAGUAGUUCGCAUAUCAAAAGUCACCAUUCAGUUAGCAUGCGCACUUUAGCUAGCUUCCAAUUCACUUGUAGGUCUGAGAGAAAAGAGAGUGCCCUACCUUCUAUCUAGCUUCCAAUUAACUUGUAGGUGUACUAAGUUAUCCUUCAAUUUUCAGAUCAUGUACAACCUGAUUCAGUGCACAUGUUUCAGGGGCUAUAUUCAGUACAAAAUGCUCAAUGAAAAACCCUGCAAGUACUCUUAUUCA